rnacentral:rRNA from 1 species
GACGGACGCUGGCGGCGUGCUUAACACAUGCAAGUCGAACGGAAAGGCCCCUUUGGGGGUACUCGAGUGGCGAACGGGUGAGUAACACGUGAGUAACCUGCCCUUGACUUCGGGAUAACUUCAGGAAACUGGGGCUAAUACCGGAUAGGAAUCCUUGCUGCAUGGUGGGGGUUGGAAAGCUUCGGCGGUUUUGGAUGGACUCGCGGCUUAUCAGCUUGUUGGUGGGGUAGUGGCUUACCAAGGCUUUGACGGGUAGCCGGCCUGAGAGGGCGACCGGCCACAUUGGGACUGAGAUACGGCCCAGACUCCUACGGGAGGCAGCAGUGGGGAAUAUUGCACAAUGGGCGGAAGCCUGAUGCAGCAACGCCGCGUGCGGGAUGACGGCCUUCGGGUUGUAAACCGCUUUCAGCAGGGGCGAAGCUUUUGUGACGGUACCUGCAGAAGAAGCACCGGCUAACUACGUG